CACGUAGGAGGCGAGCGUUGUCCGGAAUCAUUGGGCGUAAAGAGCGCGCAGGCGGCUUGGCAAGUCGGGUGUGAAAAUCCCGGGGGCUCAACCCCCGUGACUGCAUCCGAUACUGUCAGGCUAGAGGUAGGUAGGGGGAGAUCGGAAUUCCUGGUGUAGCGGUGAAAUGCGCAGAUAUCAGGAGGAACACCGGUGGCGAAGGCGGGUCUCUGGGCAGUAACUGACGCUGAGGAGCGAAAGCGUGGGGAGCGAACAGG
rnacentral:rRNA from 1 species